rnacentral:lncRNA from 1 species
ACCCGGAACUUGUAUAACUGCCCGGAAACGACCACUGUGAGGCGAACAGAAGUACCCGAAGGAAGACGGGGGCACUAAAAAUUGACACGGGGCGGAAAAUAUUUGGCCGACCAUAAUCCGCAUAAAAAUUAAGCGGAAAACGGCCUGGAAGGGCAGUUUCAGUCGAAAUCGUAUGGUGAGAACGCCAUCGCGCGAGGUUGAGCGUUAGCGAGCGCAGCCAGCGGAAAUUGGGGUUUGUUUAACGGAUCGAAAGCGAUGGAGAGGCCUGCGAGAGUGUUUUUCCACGGGAUGAGUAAAAAUGACCUGCUAACCUGAAAUCGGAAACCGCCUUUGUGCACGUCUACGCUUUCGGCGCCCUUUUUAGCGUUAUUAUUUUCACGCAUUGCUCUUCAAGAGGACUUUCUCCGUUCACGAGCAGAGGGAUGUGAUUGAAAAAGGGAAUUCGGCUCUUCCCCUCUCCCUCAUCCCCCCUUCACAGUCCACAUAACCAUCCCGGAGAACAAUCGGCGCUUUUCUUUCAACCAAAAAGGAUUUGUGAAUUGCUGAUUAUUGAUUGUUUUUCCAUGCAUGUUCUCGUAUUAGAGUUAUUGGUAUUGGAGUCACCAGUGUUUUUGGUUGCAUUUCAGUUACUUUUGACAGGUGUAAAGACUUGACAGAUAUAAGGAUUUGAUUUUGUCAUAUUUAAGGACUUCUAAACACCAGAUUGUAUUGGAAUGUGUGGAUGGAUGAAUGUCUGGUUGGUGUAUUUUUUUUUUUAUUAUAGCUC